CCUACGGGGUGCAGCAGUGGGGAAUAUUGCACAAUGGGCGCAAGCCUGAUGCAGCCAUGCCGCGUGUAUGAAGAAGGCCUUCGGGUUGUAAAGUACUUUCAGCGAGGAGGAAGGCGAUAAGGUUAAUAACCUUGUCGAUUGACGUUACUCGCAGAAGAAGCACCGGCUAACUCCGUGCCAGCAGCCGCGGUAAUACGGAGGGUGCAAGCGUUAAUCGGAAUUACUGGGCGUAAAGCGCACGCAGGUGGUCUGUCAAGUCGGAUGUGAAAUCCCCGGGCUCAACCUGGGAACUGCAUUCGAAACUGGCAGGCUGGAGUCUUGUAGAGGGGGGUAGAAUUCCAGGUGUAGCGGUGAAAUGCGUAGAGAUGUGGAGGAACACCAGUGGCGAAGGCGACUCUCUGGUCUGUAACUGACGCUGAGGAGCGAAAGCGUGGGGAGCAAACAGGAUUAGAUACCCCUGUAGUC
rnacentral:rRNA from 1 species